CGCUGCCUACGGGGGGCAGCAGUGGGGGAUAUUGGACAAUGGGGGGAACCCUGAUCCAGCGACGCCGCGUGAGUGAAGAAGUAUCUCGGUAUGUAAAGCUCUAUCAGCAGGGAAGAAAGAAAUGACGGUACCUGAGUAAGAAGCCCCGGCUAACUACGUGCCAGCAGCCGCGGGAAUACGUAGGGGGCAAGCGUUAUCCGGAAUUACUGGGUGUAAAGGGAGCGGCGAGGGUGAAGUAAGUCUGGAGGGAAAGGCGGGGGCCCA
rnacentral:rRNA from 1 species